rnacentral:misc_RNA from 1 species
GAUGAAGAACGUAGCGAAAUGCGAUACGUAAUGUGAAUUGCAGAAUUCAGUGAAUCAUCGAAUCUUUGAACGCAUAUUGCGCUCUCUGGUAUUCCGGAGAGCAUGCUUGUUUGAGUAUCAGUAAACACCUCAACUUCCAUAUCUUUUUUGAAAUGGGAGUUGGACUUGAGUGAUCCCAACGCUUUUCCUCACCGAAAAGUGGCGGGUUACUUGAAAUGCAGGUGCAGCUGGACUUUUCUCUGAGCUAUAAGCAUAUCUAUUUAGUCUGCCUAAAAAAACAGAUUAUUACCUUUGCUGAAGCUAACAUAAAGGAGAUUAGUUCUUGUGCUGACUGAUGCAGGAUUCACAAAGACAGGCUUCGGCCGACUUUGUAAACUCGAUCUCAAAUCAAGUAAGACUACCCGCUGAACUUAAGCAUAUCAAUAAGCGGAGGA